rnacentral:lncRNA from 1 species
GGCGGAGAUAGAAUCACGAAGUUGAAGAUGAUAGAGGGUAGCAAAGAAGACAAGGGAAGUGACAACGAAAAGAAAAGUGGUAGGGAUUUUUCGAGCCAUAAUCUUUUUCAUAACAAUGGCGGAGUUGGAGGGUCAUAAAUAAAAGUAGUAAACAAUAAUGAACAAAGAAGGAGAGAAUUAAUAUAUGGAAUUUCAAUUCAGUAAGAAGAAGGAAGAAUGGCAUGCAGCCUGGCAGAAAGAUU